GGUAAUGAGGUUGGAAGGGUUUGAAAUACCUAGCACAUAAACUUCAAAGUUUUUUUGCCGAAAACCAUGAUAAAAUGACUUCUGACUUGAACGCUGAGGAUGUAAAGGGGAAAUUGUUUCAUUAUCUUAAGGAUCGCGGUGUUUUGGAUUCAUUUAAGUCUCAGUUAAGGAAGCAGUUGAUUGAAGCACUUCAACAUACCACAAGUACUCCAAUCUUUCAACCAAAUGUUGAAGUACGAACUGGAAAUGAAAAUAGUUCUCUUCCAUUGUUUCAAAGAGCAGCCAAUUAUAUUGUUGCCCAAUAUUUGCAAAGCUGUGGAUAUGAAUACAGUUUGUCAACAUUUCUUCCAGAAAGUGGGACAAACUUUAAAAAGGAGUUCUCAAGUAAUGAUAUAUGUUAUUUAUUAAACAUUGAUGCCAAAUCACCUCUUCAUCGGACAUUGGAUUCCCAACUUACAUCAAGCUCAAAAGGCCAAUUUCUUUGGGAUUUUUUACGUGAAGUUGCUGAUUUGCACAGUAAAGUAAAAUGUGAUUCAAGCACUCAAACUACAUCAGAAAGUCAAGUUUCAUCUAUCUUAGAGCACAAAUUGUCAAAAUUGGAGAAAGAAUUCGAGGAAAAACGUCAACUAUUUAAAACAAAUGACUCGCAGGGAUUAGAAAAUACUUUGAUGGCAAUUCAAAAAAAUUAUGAAGCGAGAAAACAGAAAGAGUUAGAGGAAGAGUUGAAAGCUUUUCGAACGUCCGAGUUACUGAAGAUGAGAAUGGAUGAGAGACAAAAGUAUGAAACGAAAAUGAACGAACUUCGCAAACAGUAUGAAGAUGAAUAUAUUUUAAAAAAUCAAGCGUUGUGUGCAAUGGAAAAAGAAAUAUUGGACAGAGAGAAACGAUUACAAGAGGAUCGACAGUCAGAAGCCUACAAAGAAAGACAAAAAUUUCUGGAAGAGAUGCGAUCAUUUAAAGAACGCGAAGCUGUUUUUAAUAGCAAGAUUUCAAUGAAAGAAAGAUCUCUGAAGAAUACUGAGGAACGACUGAAAAAUGAAUACGAAACAAUAAAAGCUAGAGAAGAUGCUAUUAUACAAAAGGAAAACAUAAUGGCAGAGCAAGUAAAGACAAAAGUAGACAGUUUUUUAAAUGAGCAAGAAAAACAAUGUAUGAAACGAAACCAGGAACUUACUGUGUGGGAGUCACGUCUUAAAGGCGAAAAAUGUAAUCUAAGCCAAGAAAAAGAAGAACAACUAAAGUGUCAGAGUGAACUUUCUGCAGCAAAAGAAGAAUGUGCUCAACUAAAGUCAUUGUUAGAAGCAUCAAAAUUAUCAACAGAAGAUUUCAAAAAGCAAAAUAUGAUUCUGGAGCAUAAAAUUUUGGAGAUGAAUGAUUAUCAGACUUUGAAGAAAAAUGAAAUUGUGUUGGCCAAAGACAUAGAGUAUUUAACACAACGUUUAGUGGAAAGCAAUUUACUUUGCAAGGAACAGGAAAGAAGGCACCAGCAAUUGAUGAAGGAAAUGUCAGAAAGAAAAAGCAAGCCAUCAAAGGAAAUUACAAAAUUGAGAAAGGAACUGGCAGAAAUGAGGGAUAAGUGUUUCAAAAACGAGAAAACAUUUUUUGAAGAAAAGAAAUCGUUGCAGUUACAAUUGAAAUUUCAGUCUGAACGAACAAGGCAUUUUCAAAAAAUAUGCGAAGAUCAGGUGAACACGCAACAUGUACUGGAGACUGAAAUUGAAAAUUUAAAAAUGAUGCAAGAACAAACUGAAAGACUGCUUAGUUUAGAAGUUUGUCAUGAGGAUACAAGGAAUGUUCAUUUCAGAUCUAACCUUAUGGGAACAAGUGGAUAUAUUUCUGCAGUUAAAAACGCACAUUUUGACGAAAGUAAAUUCGUAAAUUUAUUACAAAAACGAGAGUGGCAAACGAAAGUGAUUGCUGAAAAACCAACGAAUGAAGAGAGCUCGACUAUGGACGAAAAAAGCCUUUCGAGUGUGAUCGAGGAUAAGAAAACUUUUGAAAAGUUUGAAAGAGAGGCUGAGGCACUCGAUGCGUCAUACAAAGAUUUUCAAAGCCGUAUGACUAUGCUGUCUCUUCAUUCUCAAUACUCCCAAAAAACUCGUCCUAAUUCGUCAACAUUUCUCAGUCUCGCAAGUUUUCAUUCUCCUCCUCAUGAAGUCAACGUUGAAUUAGACGACAUGAACUCAUCAGAGAAAAGAAAAAAACAUCGUUCCGUUAUCGAGACAGUCAAUGAAAAGAAAGAGGUCUCAAAAUAACUGCUUUGAACUAUGAAAAUUUUGGUAACCGCAGUCAACAAUCAGAUGAAAAUGAUUUUGAGAAUGUCUCUCUGAAGUCUGACGUCAACAUGGAGUCUGGUCCAAUGGUUGAUCGUGAGUGUUUGUCUUCCUCAAGAAAUGAACACGGCACUAUAUUAAAGGCGGACAAUCCUAUUGAGUUGGAUCAUUCUGUUAAAGAAAACAAACUGGAUGGAGAAAAUGAUAGGUUAGAACUGGCGAAAGAUACUUAUCCAGUAGAGAAAGAUGAAACCCGAGUGCAACAAACAUUCAGUGAUGCCAAUUUUGUUCCCAAAUUUUCUGAAAACCAUCUUCCUGAACAAUCUUUAAUGGAUGGACAUGUAUCUCACGACUACAACUUUCAAAAUACAUAUGAUAAAAUAUCUUUGAAUGAUCUAUCAAACAAUGUGAAAAAUGUGAAAAACGAAAUGGAUGAAGGGGAAAGUGACCUUGUUAAUAUUGAUAAAGAGAAAAAAGGGAUUUUUACUCCACAAAGUAUGGAUUUACAAGGCGUAUCGACUGCUUUAGUUACCAGGCAAAAAGGUUUUGAAGAAAAUUUGAAUGAAAAUUGUAAAAUAACAUCAUACGCAGAAAAUGUUGGACGUCAUGCAAGUUGUGACAAUGAUAGUGAUGAAGGUGUGAAGACUUUUAAAGAAAAAGUGGAUUUCCAUCAUUCUAGAUCUCAAAAUUCUUCAGUAAGUAAUAUUUCGGAGCAAAGCAACAAUGACAAAAGAAAAAACGAGAUUUGUGAGGAGCAUUCAAUCGAUCCUAUGAUUUCCAAGUACAUGGAAAUGAUUAAACAACGUCGAAAAAUUGAAAUUUCAGAAGAAAAGACUGGCGAAAUGGAUGUUCCAGACGUUGAAAAUAUCAAUAGCGAUGGCGAUAAUCAAAUCUCAAUUGGUCAGGAUGAGGAAAUUAGCAUGGAGAAAGUAUCAGAUGAAGAUUUCAACUGGUGAUGAGAAACCAUUGUGAUGUAAAAUGUUUGAUUAUUUUAUUAUGGUAAAUUCAUUGGUUAAUAUAGUUUUUACUUUCUUGCUAAAUUUUAUGUUUGUUUUCAUUUGAAAACUUGUUCUAGGACUGAAAGUAAUAAUACUAAUUUACAGCAACAGUAAAUAUAGAAUACUUAGAAAGAUUGGCAGCAAGAAAACUGCAAUAAACGGCAGAACUCUUGUUAUUUUAUGUAUAAAUAAACCGCGAUCGCACUGUUUC